CAAUCCUUUCACCGACAUACUCUCGAGAUUACCAUUGAUGUCUCUCAUAAUCCGAUGCGUUUCCAAGUGAUGGUUGGCCUUUCAUCAAGCUCCACUUCCACCGCUCCAUGGAGCCCAACAACACGUCCAGCAACGAAUCUCCGCCAUUUCCUUUCAAUACUUCUCCCUUUGUUUCAUCGACGAUGACGAGAAUCGCUUCGGAAUCAAAGUCCAUCAGAGGUUCUUAAUCCGUUGGUGAAAGGAGUGACUGAUUAAUAAAUGAAACACAAGAACGAUAAAGAGCAUGCUGGAUAAAAUCUUUUGUUUUAUAAAGAACUUGCUAGAGAGUUUGCUGGUGGAGGAAUGAGAAUGGCUAUCAAUUGUAUGCAUAUAAUAUGGCAAGUAUUGACAAGUCUUUACAGUCUUUGUUUCCUUUGAUGGAGUUUGUUCUUCUCUGUCACCAAAUCUCACAAACAUCUAGUGGAGUUAAUAGCUUACAACUGCAAGGUAAGGGUUAUUGGUUGGUAUUGGAAUCAUAGCUAGUUAAGUUCAAAUUUUCAUGUUUUUGCAACUCUUUAUCUUUAGAAUGGUUCAAAAUUGAUUUCAAUGUUGCUUGAUAUAAAUGGAGGAUGAUUGUGUUCUGUACCACCGGAAGUCUUUUGGAUAGAACUUAGAAGUAGGUUUUUGUGUAGGGGCUCAAUUUGCUGAUGUCAAAGGUGCCAUGUUUACAACUUUGACAUCUCACUACAGUGUGAGCAGGCUAUCACUACUGUUUUAGUGAUAAUUUUCUUGAUUUAA